rnacentral:misc_RNA from 1 species
UUAAGUUCAGCGGGUAGUCCUACCUGAUUUGAGGUCAAAUAUUCAAAAGUUGUCCUGAAAGGACGAUUAGAAGCUGAACAAACAGAGAGCAGCCUUUGUCUUGGGCGUAGAUAAUUAUCACACCGGUGACUGACCGCAAACGGUUCCGCUAAUGCAUUUCAGGGGAGCUGGCCUCAGUAAUAGAAGCCCGCAGGAAUACC